rnacentral:rRNA from 1 species
CCUACGGGAGGCAGCAGUGAGGAAUCUUCCACAAUGGGCGAAAGCCUGAUGGAGCAACGCCGCGUGCAGGAUGAAGGCCUUCGGGUUGUAAACUGCUUUUAUGAUUGAGGAAUUUGACAGUAGAUCAUGAAUAAGGAUCGGCUAACUACGUGCCAGCAGCC